GGACCCGCACAAGCGGUGGAGUAUGUGGCUUAAUUCGAUGCAACGCGAAGAACCUUACCUAGGCUUGACAUGCUUGUCGUACUCUCCCGAAAAGGAGAGGUCACUUCGGGUGGACAAUGCACAGGUGCUGCAUGGCCGUCGUCAGCUCGUGUCGUGAGAUGUUUGGUUAAGUCCAGCAACGAGCGCAACCCCCUGUGAACUGUUGCCAGCGCGUAAAGGCGGGGACUCUGUUCAGACUGCCCAGAUCAACUGGGAGGAAGGUGGGGACGACGUCAGGUCAGUAUGGCCCUUACGCCUAGGGCUGCACACGUACUACAAUGCCCAGCACAAUGAGAACCGAGACCGCAAGGUGGAGGAAAUCUGCAAAAACUGGGCCCAGUUCGGAUUGGAGGCUGCAACUCGCCUCCAUGAAGUCGGAAUCGCUAGUAAUCGCGGAU
rnacentral:rRNA from 1 species